AGAGUUUGAUCCUGGCUCAGGACGAACGCUGGCGGCGCGCCUAACACAUGCAAGUCGAACGGAGCUUAGAGAGCUUGCUUUUUAAGCUUAGAGGCGAACGGGUGAGUAACGCGUGAGUAACCUGCCCUAGAGUGGGGGACAACAGUUGGAAACGACUGCUAAUACCGCAUAAGCCCACGGUGCCGCAUGACACUGAGGGAAAAGGAUUUAUUCGCUUUAGGAUGGACUCGCGUCCAAUUAGCUAGUUGGUGAGGUAACGGCCCACCAAGGCGACGAUUGGUAGCCGGACUGAGAGGUUGAACGGCCACAUUGGGACUGAGACACGGCCCAGACUCCUACGGGAGGCAGCAGUGGGGGAUAUUGCACAAUGGGGGAAACCCUGAUGCAGCGACGCCGCGUGGAGGAAGAAGGUUUUCGGAUUGUAAACUCCUGUCGUUAGGAACGAUAAUGACGGUACCUAACAAGAAAGCACCGGCUAACUACGUGCCAGCAGCCGCGGUAAAACGUAGGGUGCAAGCGUUGUCCGGAAUUACUGGGUGUAAAGGGAGCGCAGGCGGGAAGACAAGUUGAAAGUGAAAACCAUGGGCUCAACCCAUGAAUUGCUUUCAAAACUGUUUUUCUUGAGUAGUGCAGAGGUAGAUGGAAUUCCCGGUGUAGCGGUGGAAUGCGUAGAUAUCGGGAGGAACACCAGUGGCGAAGGCGGUCUACUGGGCACCAACUGACGCUGAGGCUCGAAAGCAUGGGUAGCAAACAGGAUUAGAUACCCUGGUAGUCCAUGCCGUAAACGAUGAUUACUAGGAUGGUUUGGGGGGAUUGACCCCCUCUGUGCCGCAGGUUAACACAAUAAGUGAUCCACCUGGGGAGUACGGCCGCAAGGUUUGAAACUCAAAGGAAUUGACGGGGGCCCGCACAAGCAGUGGAGUAUGUGGUUUAAUUCGAAGCAACGCGAAGAACCUUACCAGGUCUUGACAUCCGAUGCAUAGCACAGAGAUGUGUGAAAUCCUUCGGGACAUCGAGACAGGUGGUGCAUGGUUGUCGUCAGCUCGUGUCGUGAGAUGUUGGGUUAAGUCCCGCAACGAGCGCAACCCUUAUUGCCAGUUACUACGUUAAGAGGACUCUGGCGAGACUGCCGUUGACAAAACGGAGGAAGGUGGGGAUGACGUCAAAUCAUCAUGCCCUUUAUGACCUGGGCUACACACGUACUACAAUGGCGUUAAACAAAGAGAAGCAAGACCGCGAGGUGGAGCAAAACUCAAAAACAACGUCUCAGUUCAGAUUGCAGGCUGCAACUCGCCUGCAUGAAGUCGGAAUUGCUAGUAAUCGCGGAUCAGCAUGCCGCGGUGAAUACGUUCCCGGGCCUUGCACACACCGCCCGUCA
rnacentral:rRNA from 1 species